rnacentral:sRNA from 1 species
CACCCCUGUGUGAGCCUCAGUGUUUUCAUCAGUGCAAUGGGAGUUCAAGCAAUUCUCCCAUCUCAGCCUCCUGAGUAGCUGGGAUUACAGAUGCUGAGCCAGGGAGGCCAUGAGGGAAGGACAGGAGAUGGGGCCCACCCCAGUGCCCAGCAACCCCCUGCUCCACUGCUCAUUCCCCUGCUGGCCCCGGGGCUGGUCUCACCCAGUGCCAACCCGAGAGCUCCUUUUGGAACCUGCACAGCCCGCCCGCCUGUUGUCACCUGCACCCACCGCCGGACCAUGCAGCCUCGCCUCCUGGAUGCUGCCCCAGCCUGGCGGAGGGUCCCAGGUGAAGACCGGAGGGACCCCAACAGCCACUGCCCAGGACGCUGAGGCUCCCUUGCCUGACUGUGAUUUGUGCCUCUCUCCUGUCCCCGUGGGGACAUGGCAGCCCAGAGCCAAGGCUGGGUGGGCACGUGACCCAAGGAACCUUUCUGGGAACACCUUCUUGCCGGGCUGGGAACAAUAAAUGCAGCCAUGUCUCUGCAGCUGGUGCAGACCCCA